rnacentral:rRNA from 1 species
CAAUAGCGUAUAUUAAAGUUGUUGCAGUUAAAAAGCUCGUAGUUGGAUUUCUGGUGGGAGCGAUCGGUCUGGCGCUUAGCGCGAGUACUUGCAUCGUCUCCGGCCAUCCUUGGGGAGAGACUGUCUGGCAUUAAGUUGUCGGGCAGAGGAUCCUCAUCGUUUACUGUGAAAAAAUUAGAGUGUUCAAAGCAGGCUUAUGCCGUUGAAUAUAUUAGCAUGGAAUAAUAAGAUAGGACUUUGGUACUAUUUUGUUGGUUUGCGCACCAAAGUAAUGAUUAAUAGGGACAGUUGGGGGUAUUCGUAUUCCGUUGUCAGAGGUGAAAUUCUUGGAUUUACGGAAGACGAACUACUGCGAAAGCAUUUACCAAGGAUGUUUUCAUUAA